rnacentral:rRNA from 1 species
GACGAACGCUGGCGGCGUGCUUAACACAUGCAAGUCGAACGGUAAGGCCCUUCGGGGUACACGAGUGGCGAACGGGUGAGUAACACGUGGGUGAUCUGCCCUGCACUUUGGGAUAAGCCUGGGAAACUGGGUCUAAUACCGAAUAUGACCAUGGACUUCACGGUUUGUGGUGGAAAGCUUUUGCGGUGUGGGAUGGGCCCGCGGCCUAUCAGCUUGUUGGUGGGGUAAUGGCCUACCAAGGCGACGACGGGUAGCCGGCCUGAGAGGGUGACCGGCCACACUGGGACUGAGAUACGGCCCAGACUCCUACGGGAGGCAGCAGUGGGGAAUAUUGCACAAUGGCGCAAGCCUGAUGCAGCGACGCCGCGUGGGGGAUGACGGCCUUCGGGUUGGUAAACCUCGUUUCACCAGGACGAAGCGAGAGUGACGGUACCCGGAGAAGAAGGACCGGCAACUACGUGCCAGCAGCCGCGGUAA